rnacentral:rRNA from 1 species
ACUACAAGGAGACUGCCGGUGAUAAACCGGAGGAAGGUGGGGAUGACGUCAAGUCCUCAUGGCCCUUAUAGGUGGGGCUACACACGUCAUACAAUGGAUGGUACAAAGGGUCGCCAACCCGCGAGGGGGAGCCAAUCCCAUAAAGCCAUUUGUAGUCCGGAUCGCAGUCUGCAACUCGACUGCGUGAAGUCGGAAUCGCUAGUAAUCGUGGAUCAGAAUGUCACGGUGAAUACGUUCCCGGGUCUU